GAUGAACGCUAGCGGCAGGCCUAACACAUGCAAGUCGAGGGGCAUCGCGGUGCAGCAAUGCACUGGCGGCGACCGGCGUACGGGUGCGUAACGCGUAUGCAACCUGCCCCGCACCGGGGGAUAGCCCGCCGAAAGGCGGAUUAAUACCCCAGUGGUCCCGGGGGCCCGCAUGGGCAUCCGGGUAAAGCCUUGGCGGUGCGGGAUGGGCAUGCGUGCCAUUAGCUGGCUGGUGGGGUAACGGCCCACCAGGGCAACGAUGGCUAGGGGGUCUGAGAGGAUGGUCCCCCACACUGGUACUGAGACACGGACCAGACUCCUACGGGAGGCAGCAGUGAGGAAUAUUGGUCAAUGGGCGGAAGCCUGAACCAGCCAUGCCGCGUGCGGGAUGAAGGCCCUACGGGUUGUAAACCGCUUUUCCCCGGGAAGAAUAACCCCGAUGAGUCGGGGGAUGCCGGUACCGGGGGAAUAAGGAUCGGCUAACUCCGUG
rnacentral:rRNA from 1 species